UGCAAGACGUGCAGGCUGUGUGCCACACGCGUACUCGUAAAGUCAACAUUGGGGUCUACACGUCCACAUGGUCUUUAACGUGCUCGCUCGGCCCCGCCCCCUCUGAAGCUAUAGGCCGACAUGCGUUCUUAUAUAUUGUGUAGGAUCACAGUGUUUCUUAGUUUUCUGGCACUUUCACCCCCGGCGGCCUGUCUUCAGGACUUCAGCAUUACACAUCCAUCAGGAGAUUUAUUUCAGUUGUUUGGUGUUCAAAGACAGCAGAGAUGAUCAUCAGACUGGGCAGAUUGACUCCUGGAUAUUUCCGUCUCUUGCAGAGUCAGGUAGCAGGAGAGGUGCAGGCACCAUCAUGUGACCGCUCCACCAACCAAAUAGCCAUGAUGCUGGCCAUCAUGGGUCUCAGUCUGUCCUACUACAGUGCCAAACAGAUGACAGAGAAGGUUCGCCGAAAGCCGGCGCCAUGAAGACUCUCCUGUGUCUGGUUUUUUGGACCUCCAAACCGAAAGUAAAGUCGGAGCGAGAUGACCACGUGCGGCACACUAUAUCCCUUUUGUAUCAGAAACUGGAUUUCCAGCAAUCACUAAACCACGGGAAGCAAAUCUGGGUCUUCUGCUAGGGGUUCUCUCACUUUAGUUUAACUCUCAGUCGGGUCUGGAGGGGGUUGAACUUGGCUUUGUUUGGGUUUGUUGGGUUGAAUCUUGAUAGUUGACUUGGUACUUGAAUCAGAGAGUCGAUUCGUACUGCUGUAGAACUUUCUGUAUAUUAUUUAGGGAAAUCUGCCGCUACUUUGAGCCAUAAUGCCUUUAAAGGGAACAUCAUCUGGUAUUGAGAUGUACCAAGCAACUAUUAAAAGAAAUGAGGGACUGAAAGGAUUCAUGUUUUUGAAGAAACUUCACACAGAUCUGAGUACUUGAAAGUUUAGUCUCAGAUCUGAUCUUUUAAUAGGACACUACUCGAAUAUCUGAGUUAUCAGUACUACACUGUGACCGCUUUUUGAACAAAUUUAGUUUUUUUCAAUAUAACUAAAACGAUUUUCAACAAUCUUGACCAGCAGAUUUAACAACAAUCAACAGUUACUUUGUGUUUGUGCAAUUGCAUGAGUUUGUCGUUUUUAAAUGCAGUCUAUAAAAUUAUUUCUAAUAGUUUUUUAUGACAAUGUGAAUUAUGAUGUAUAUGUAUGUUGUUACAUUUUUUAAGAAUGAAAUCUAUGAACAAAUAAAGCUGUGAAUUUUCCGAAAGAGAUGAACUUUAAUAAAGUCUGUUGAAUAAAACAA